rnacentral:rRNA from 1 species
AGAAUCAACGCUGGCGGCGUGCCUAACACAUGCAAGUCGAACGAGAAAGUGGAGCAAUCCAUGAGUAAAGUGGCGCACGGGUGAGUAACACGUGACUAACCUACCCUUGAGUGGGGAAUAACCUCGGGAAACCGGGCUAAUACCGCAUAACACCUACGGGUCAAAGGAGCAAUUCGCUUAAGGAGGGGUCGCGGCAGAUUAGUUAGUUGGCGGGGUAAUGGCCCACCAAGACGGUGAUCUGUA